UGUAUUCCAGCACGGGCUGGAGCGCUGC
rnacentral:sRNA from 1 species